AGAGUUUGAUCCUGGCUCAGGAUGAACGCUAGCGGCAGGCCUAACACAUGCAAGUCGAGGGGUAACAUAGGAAAGCUUGCUUUUCUGAUGACGACCGGCGCACGGGUGCGUAACGCGUAUACAACCUACCUUUUAGCGGGGAAUAGCCCAGGGAAACUUGGAUUAAUGCCCCAUAGUAUGGAGAUCUCUCCUGAGAUUUUCAUUAAACAUUUAUGGCUAUUAGAUGGGUAUGCGUCCUAUUAGUUAGUUGGUAAGGUAACGGCUUACCAAGGCAGCGAUAGGUAGGGGUCCUGAGAGGGAGAUCCCCCACACUGGUACUGAGACACGGACCAGACUCCUACGGGAGGCAGCAGUGAGGAAUAUUGGACAAUGGGCGAGAGCCUGAUCCAGCCAUGCCGCGUGCAGGAAGACUGCCCUAUGGGUUGUAAACUGCUUUUACAGAGGAAGAACCACUCCCACGUGUGGAAGUUUGACGGUACUCUGCGAAUAAGGAUCGGCUAACUCCGUGCCAGCAGCCGCGGUAAUACGGAGGAUCCAAGCGUUAUCCGGAAUCAUUGGGUUUAAAGGGUCCGUAGGCGGGCAGUUAAGUCAGUGGUGAAAGUCUUCCGCUCAACGGGAGAACUGCCAUUGAUACUGAUUGUCUUGAGUUAUUAUGAAGUGGUUAGAAUGAGUAGUGUAGCGGUGAAAUGCAUAGAUAUUACUCAGAAUACCGAUUGCGAAGGCAGAUCACUAAUAAUAUACUGACGCUGAUGGACGAAAGCGUAGGUAGCGAACAGGAUUAGAUACCCUGGUAGUCUACGCCGUAAACGAUGGUUACUAGCUGUUCGGCCCGAUUAAGGGCUGAGUGGUUAAGCGAAAGUGAUAAGUAACCCACCUGGGGAGUACGUUCGCAAGAAUGAAACUCAAAGGAAUUGACGGGGGCCCGCACAAGCGGUGGAGCAUGUGGUUUAAUUCGAUGAUACGCGAGGAACCUUACCAGGGCUUAAAUGUAGUCUGACAGGCUGGAAACAGCUUUUUCUUCGGACAGAUUACAGUGCUGCAUGAUGUCGUCAGCUCGUGCGUGAGUGUCAGUAGUCUAUAACGAGCGCACCCUGUGGUUAGUUGCAGCGAGUAAUG
rnacentral:rRNA from 1 species